GGUGCUCGCUUCGGCACGUCAUAUACUAAACACUGCAGCAUGACAGAGAAGUUUAGCAUGGCCUCUGCAUGAGGAUGACAAGCAAAUUCAUUAGAGAGAGUUUC